AGUAUAUUUAUUAUGUUUAUAAUAUUUAUUUAUGUUAAUUUAUUAUAAGGAACUAGGCAAAAUUGAUUUCCGCCUGUUUAUCAAAAACAUGUCUUCUUGUUAAUAUUAUGAAGUCUGGCCUGCUCACUGACGAGUUUUGAAGAGCCGCGGUAUUUUGACCGUGCAAAGGUAGCAUAAUCAUUAGUCUCUUAAUUAGGGGCUGGAAUGAAUGGCUUGACGAGAAAUCAACUGUCUCUUAAUAAUUUUUAAAAUUUAACUUUUGAGUUAAAAGGCUUAAAUUUUUCUUUAGGACGAGAAGACCCUAUAGAGCUUGACAUCUUACUUUUAUAUAGUUUUUAGUUGAUCUUUCUAUAUAAAAUGAUAAUGUUUUGUUGGGGUGACAUGAAGAAUAAAUAAACUCUUCGUUAUAUAAUCAUUGAUUUAUGUUUAUCAUGAUCCAUAAUUUAUGAUCAUAAGAUUAAGUUACCUUAGGGAUAACAGCGUAAUUGUUUUCGAGAGCUCAUAUCGACAAAGCAGAUUGCGACCUCGAUGUUGGAUUAAGAAAAAUGUUGGGUGCAGUAGCCCAAUGAUUAGGUCUGUUCGACCUUUAAAUUCUUACAUGAUCUGAGUUCAGACCGGCGUGAGCCAGGUCGGUUUCUAUCCUAAGAAAAUUAAUUUGCAUUAGUACGAAAGGACCAUGUGAAUGAAAUAUUUUUUUGUGUUGAUUAAAAUUAAUUAUUU
rnacentral:rRNA from 1 species